UAGUUAGUGCCUUAUUCUGUGGUAGAGCGCGUCGCUUUUAACCACGUGGUCGUGGAUUCGAUCCCCACAAACUUUGAUUAG